CAGGCUGUGAGUCAGAGAAGAAGAGAAGCUCCAUCAUGUCAGGUUCAACACCAACCAUGUUGCCUGUAGCUCUGCUGCUGCUGCUGGCUGCUGGAUCCUGUGUGAAGUGUGAACAGUUGACACAGCCAGCCUCUGUGACUGUGCAGCCAGGUCAGAGUCUGACCAUCACCUGUCAGGUCUCUUAUUCUGUUGGCAGCUACUACACAGCCUGGAUCAGACAGCCUGCAGGGAAAGGACUGGAGUGGAUUAUAGUAGGUCGUGUGGGAUAUAGCACAUAUACCAAAGAUUCACUGAAGAACCAGUUCAGUAUCAACUUUGACUCUUCCAGCAACACAGUGACUCUAAACGGACUGAAUAUGCAGCCUGCAGACACUGCAGUGUAUUACUGUGCCAGAGACCCACAGUGACACAACCCAUCAGUAGAGCUGAACAAAAACCCCUCAGAGCCUGAACACCAGUAACAUG